GCUAAUGCCAAUAUGGCAGGCAUUAGCAACAUGUGAUAAUUUAAAUUAAAAUUAUAUUUGUUGACAGGUGAAUGGAUAAAAAUAUGUUUAUAUAGAGAGUGGAAUAUUAUUCAGUCAUGGAAAAGAAGGAAAUGCUGACAUUUGCAACAACAUGGAAGAACGGAAGGACGUCAUGCUAAGUGAAGGAAGUGAGACCCAGAAAGACAAAUACCACAUGAUUUCACGCAUAUGCAAAAUCUACAAAAGUUGAACUCAUAAAAGCAGAGAGUAGAGCGGUGGCUGGUUAGGAAAAUGGGGAGAUGCUGAUGGAAGGGUCCAAACUUUCAGUUAUAAGGUGAGGAAGGUCUGGGGGUCUAAGAGGCCACUUAAGCAAGAUUCCUGCUCAUGGAACACUAUAUGCUAAUAAAGUUGAUAAUGAAAAUAUA
rnacentral:lncRNA from 1 species